rnacentral:rRNA from 1 species
AUUGAACGCUGGCGGCAUGCCUUACACAUGCAAGUCGAACGGCAGCACGGGUGCUUGCACCUGGUGGCGAGUGGCGAACGGGUGGGUAAUACAUCGGAACAUGUCCUGUAGUGGGGGAUAGCCCGGCGAAAGCCGGAUUAAUACCGCAUACGAUCCACGGAUGAAAGCGGGGGACCUUCGGGCCUCGCGCUAUAGGGUUGGCCGAUGGCUGAUUAGCUAGUUGGUGGGGUAAAGGCCUACCAAGGCGACGAUCAGUAGCUGGUCUGAGAGGACGACCAGCCACACGGGGACUGAGACACGGCCCAGACUCCUACGGGAGGCAGCAGUGGGGAAUUUUGGACAAUGGGCGAAAGCCUGAUCCAACAAUGCCGCGUGUGUGAAGAAGGCCUUCGGGUUGUAAAGCACUUUUGUCCGGAAAGAAAUCCUUGACUCUAAUACAGUCGGGGGAUGACGGUACCGGAAGAAUAAGCACCGGCUAACUACGUG